AACGAACGCUGGCGGCAGGCUUAACACAUGCAAGUCGAACGGGCGUAGCAAUACGUCAGUGGCAGACGGGUGAGUAACACGUGGGAACCUUCCUAGGGGUACGGAACAACUCAGGGAAACUUGAGCUAAUACCGUAUACGUCCGUGAGGAGAAAGAUUUAUCGCCCUUAGACGGGCCCGCGUCGGAUUAGCUAGUUGGUGGGGUAACGGCCUACCAAGGCGACGAUCCGUAGCUGAUCUUAGAGGAUGAUCAGCCACACUGGGACUGAGACACGGCCCAGACUCCUACGGGAGGCAGCAGUGGGGAAUCUUGGACAAUGGGCGCAAGCCUGAUCCAGCCAUGCCGCGUGAGUGAAGAAGGUCUUCGGAUUGUAAAGCUCUUUUGCCAGGGACGAUAAUGACGGUACCUGGAGAAUAAGCCCCGGCAAACUUCGUG
rnacentral:rRNA from 1 species